UACAGAGGGUGCGAGCGUUAAUCGGAAUUACUGGGCGUAAAGCGUGCGCAGACGGUCAUGUAAGUCGGGUGUGAAAGCCCCGGGCUCAACCUGGGAAUUGCAUUCGAGACUGCAUGGCUAGGGUGCGGAAGAGGGAAGCGGAAUUUCCGGUGUAGCGGUGAAAUGCGUAGAUAUCGGAAGGAACACCAGUGGCGAAAGCGGCUUCCUGGUCCAGCACCGACGUUCAGGCACGAAAGCCAGGGGAGCGAACGGG
rnacentral:rRNA from 1 species